rnacentral:antisense_RNA from 1 species
CUUGAUCGAGCCGAGCAGAAGCGGCCGGUCCUCCGGUCGCUCCUGCCCGUACGUCGCAAGCAGGGCCUGCGCCUC